rnacentral:tRNA from 1 species
GCCCACGUAGCUCAGCUGGAUAGAGCAACGGACUUCUAAUCCGUAGGUCGCACGUUCGAAUCGUGCCGUGGGUACAA